rnacentral:sRNA from 1 species
AAUUGCCCCCGACAGUAGCGGCAUCCUUUUGUUUUUUUUCUUUAAAAAAACAAAAGAUAUAGCGAAUGGCGGGUACAAGC